CCUACGGGUGGCUGCAGUGGGGAAUAUUGGACAAUGGGCGAAAGCCUGAUGCAGCCAUGCCGCGUGUGUGAAGAAGGCCUUCGGGUUGUAAAGCACUUUCAGUGGGGAAGAAAGCCUUGGGGCUAAUACCCUCGAGGAAGGACAUCACCCACAGAAGAAGCACCGGCUAACUCCGUGCCAGCAGCCGCGGUAAUACGGAGGGUGCGAGCGUUAAUCGGAAUUACUGGGCGUAAAGCGCGCGUAGGCGGUCUGAUAAGCCGGUUGUGAAAGCCCCGGGCUCAACCUGGGAACGGCAUCCGGAACUGUCAGGCUAGAGUGCAGGAGAGGAAGGGAGAAUUCCCGGUGUAGCGGUGAAAUGCGUAGAGAUCGGGAGGAAUACCAGUGGCGAAGGCGGCCUUCUGGACUGACACUGACGCUGAGGUGCGAAAGCGUGGGUAGCAAACAGGAUUAGAUACCCCUGUAGUC
rnacentral:rRNA from 1 species